GGUCAUUUAGAGGAAGUAAAAGUCGUAACAAGGUUUCCGUAGGUGAACCUGCGGAAGGAUCAUUACAGAGUUCAUGCCCGAAAGGGUAGACCUCCCACCCUUGUGUAUUAUUACUUUGUUGCUUUGGCGAGCUGCCUUCGGGCCUUGUAUGCUCGCCAGAGAAUACCAAAACUCUUUUUAUUAAUGUCGUCUGAGUACUAUAUAAUAGUUAAAACUUUCAACAACGGAUCUCUUGGCUCUGGCAUCGAUGAAGAACGCAGCGAAAUGCGAUAAGUAAUGUGAAUUGCAGAAUUCAGUGAAUCAUCGAAUCUUUGAACGCACAUUGCGCCCCUUGGUAUUCCGAGGGGCAUGCCUAUUCGAGCGUCAUUAUCACCCCUCAAGCGUAGCUUGGUGUUGAGGCCUGCUGUCAAGGCAGCCUCUAAAAUCAGUGGCAGUGCUGUCAGGCUCUAAGCGUAGUAAAAUUCAUCGCUAUAGACACCUGGUGGACACUCGCCAGAACCCCCCCAUUUUUUAAUGAUUGACCUCGGAUUAGGUAGGGAUACCCGCUGAACUUAAGCAUAUCAAUAAGCGGAGGAAAAGAAACCAACAGGGAUUGCCCCAGUAACGGCGAAU
rnacentral:rRNA from 1 species